GACGGGUGGGGCUAGCGUUGUUCGGAAUUACUGGGCGUAAAGGGCGCGUAGGCGGCCAAUUAAGUUAGACGUGAAAGCCUCAGGCUUAACCUGAGAAUAGCGUUUAAUACUGGUUGGCUCGAGUAUGGUAGAGGAAAGCGGAAUUCCUAGUGUAGAGGUGAAAUUCGUAGAUAUUAGGAAGAACACCAGAGGCGAAGGCGGCUUUCUGGACCAUUACUGACGCUGAGGCGCGAAAGCGUGGGGAGCAAACAGG
rnacentral:rRNA from 1 species